rnacentral:tRNA from 1 species
GGUCGGUUAGCUCAGUUGGUUAGAGCACUGCGUUCACAUCGCAGGGGUCGCUGGUUCGAGUCCAGCACCGACCACCA